UUUAUUAAGAGUUUGAUCCUGGCUCAGGAUAAACGCUAGCGAUUAGCUUUACACAUGCAAGUCGAGGGGAUUAUAAUAUAAAAAUUUAUUUUUAUAUUGUAACGACCGGCGUACGGGUGAGUAAUACAUAUGUAAUUUACAUUUUGUUAGAAAAUACCUCAAGUAAAAUUGAAUUAAUAUUCUAUAAUGUAAAAAAUUACUAAGAUUUUUUAUAAAAGUUUUUAUUUAAUAGAUAAAAAUGACAAAAUAAAAGCAUAUGCCUGAUUAGUUAGUUGGUAAGAUAAUAGCUUACCAAGACUUUGAUCAGUAGGGGGCCUGAGAGGGCGUACCCCCACAUUGGUACUGAAACACGGACCAAACUUCUACGGAAGGCAGCAGUGAGGAAUAUUGGUCAAUGGAGGAAACUCUGAACCAGCUAUUUCGCGUGUAGGAAGAAAACUAUAAAGUUGUAAACUACUUUUGUAUAAGAAUAAAAAAUUACUUUUUGUAAUAUAUUGAAGUUAUUAUACGAAUAAGCAUCGGCUAACUCUGUGCCAGCAGCCGCGGUAAUACAGAGGAUGCAAGCGUUAUCCGGAAUUAUUGGGUUUAAAGGGUGCGUAGGUGGAUAUUUAAGUCAAUAAUGAAAUCUUAUAACUUAAUUAUAAAAAUGUUAUUGAUACUAUUUAUCUAGAAUUAAUAUGGAGUAAUUGGAAUAUGUGGAGUAGCGGUAAAAUGCUUAGAUAUCACAUAGAACACCAAAAGCGAAGGCAGAUUACUAAUAUUAUAUUGACACUGAGGCACGAAAGCGUGGGUAGCAAACAGGAUUAGAUACCCUGGUAGUCCACGCCGUAAACGAUGAUCACUAAUUAUUGGAUUUAUUUUAAAAAUUCAGUAAUUAAGCGAAAGUGAUAAGUGAUCCACCUGGGGAGUACGAUCGCAAGAUUGAAACUCAAAGGAAUUGACGGGGACCCGCACAAGCGGUGGAGCAUGUGGUUUAAUUCGAUAGUACGCGAGGAAUCUUACCAAGGUUUAAAUGUAUAACGAAUAAUUUAGAAAUAGAUUAGUCUUCGGACGGUAUACAAGAUGCUGCAUGGUUGUCGUCAGCUCGUGCCGUGAGGUGUUAGGUUAAGUCCUUUAACGAGCGCAACCCUUAUUAUUAGUUGCUAACAGAUUAUGCUGAGAUAUCUAAUAAGACAGCUAACGUAAGUUUAGAGGAAGGAGAGGAUGACGUCAAAUCAUCAUGGCUCUUACAUCUUGGGCUACACACGUGCUACAAUGGUUGAUACAAAAAGUAACAAAUAGGUGACUAUAAGUUAAUCUCUAAAAUCAAUCUCAGUUCGGAUUGAAGUCUGUAACUCGACUUUAUGAAGUUGGAAUCGCUAGUAAUCGCGUAUCAGCAAUGACGCGGUGAAUACGUUCUCGGGUCUUGUACACACCGCCCGUCAAGCCAUGGAAGUUAAUGUUACUCAAAAUUGGAUACUAUAAAAAGUAUUAAUUAAAGUAAAAUUAAUAACUAGGGCUAAGUCGUAACAAGGUAGCCGUAUCGGAAGAUGUGGCUGGAAAAUAUCCGUU
rnacentral:rRNA from 1 species